rnacentral:rRNA from 1 species
UACGUAGGGACCGAGCGUUGUCCGGAAUCAUUGGGCGUAAAGAGCGUGUAGGCGGCCAAUUAAGUCCUGCGUGAAAUCUCGGGGCUCAACCCCGAGCGGUCGUGGGAAACUGGUUGGCUAGAGUGCGGGAGAGGAGAGUGGAAUUCCUGGUGUAGCGGUGAAAUGCGCAGAUAUCAGGAAGAACACCCGUGGCGAAGGCGGCUCUCUGGACCGGUACUGACGCUGAGGCGCGAAAGCUAGGGUAGCAAACAGG